CUACUAAAAUUGGCAGCACAUAUACUAAAAUGGGAACGAUUCAGAGAUAGCAUGACCCCUGCACAAGGAUGACAUGCAAAUUCGUAAAGCGUUCCAUCAAGUG